CAGGGAGUAGUUUAUUAGAAUAUUAGUUUUGGGUAUUAAAGGUAAACUUAUAAUAGUUUCUCUCUGA
rnacentral:tRNA from 1 species